rnacentral:rRNA from 1 species
CAUUAAGACUCUCGGCAACGGAUAUCUCGGCUCUUACAUCGAUGAAGAACGUAGCGAAAUGCGAUACUUGGUGUGAAUUGCAGAAUCCCGUGAAUCAUCGAGUCUUUGAACGCAAGUUGCGCCCGAGGCCUUCGGGUCAAGGGCACGCCUGCCUGGGCGUCACGC